AUUGAACGCUGGCGGCAGGCCUCACACAUGCAAGUCGAGCGAGCGGCGGACGGGUGAGUAAUGUCUGGGAAACUGCCUGAUGGAGGGGGAUAACUACUGGAAACGGUAGCUAAUACCGCAUACCAUCAGAUGUGCCCAGAUGGGAUUAGCUAGUAGGUUGGGUAACGGAUCACCUAGGCGACGAUACCUAGCUGGUCUGAGAGAAUGACCAGCCAAACUGGAACUGAGACACGGUCCAGACUCCUCCGUGAGGCAGCAGUGGGGAAUAUUGCACAAUGGGCGAAAGCCUGAUGCAGCCAUGCCGCGUGGGUGAAGAAGGCCUUCGGGUUGUAAAGCACUUUCAGCGGGGAGGCGUUACCCGCAGAAGAAGCACCGGCUAACUCCGUACCAGCCGCGGCGGUAAUUC
rnacentral:rRNA from 1 species